rnacentral:misc_RNA from 1 species
AUGAAGAACGUAGCGAAAUGCGAUAAGUAGUGUGAAUUGCAGAAUUCAGUGAAUCAUCGAAUCUUUGAACGCACAUUGCGCCCGCCAGUAUUCUGGCGGGCAUGCCUGUUCGAGCGUCAUUUCAACCAUCAAGCCCCCGGCUUGUGUUGGGGACCUGCGGCUGCCGCAGGCCCUGAAAACCAGUGGCGGGCUCGCUAGUCACUCCGAGCGUAGUAAUACAUCUCGCUCAGGGCGUGCUGCGGGUUCCGGCCGUUAAAAAGCCUUAUUUACCCAAGGUUGACCUCGGAUCAGGUAGGAAGACCCGCUGAACUUAAGCAUAUCAAUAAGCGGAGGA